rnacentral:rRNA from 1 species
CCUACGGGAGGCAGCAGUGGGGAAUAUUGCACAAUGGGGGAAACCCUGAUGCAGCAACGCCGCGUGAGGGAAGAAGUUUCUCGGUAUGUAAAGCCUCAUUUGCAGGGAAGAAGAGUACGGUACCUGUGGAAGAAGCCCCGGCUAACUACGUGCCAGCAGGCGUGGCAAUACGGAGGGGGCAAGCGUUAUCCGGAUUUACUGGGUGUAAAGGGAGCGUAGUCGGUGAGACAAGUCAGAAGUGAAAGCCCGGGGCGCAACCCCGGGACUGCCUUGGAAACUGGCUGACUGGAGUGCUGGAGAGGCAAGCGGAAUUCCUGGUGUAGCGGUGAAAUGCGUAGAUAUCAGGAAGAACACCAGUGGCGAAGGCGGCUUGCUGGACAGUAACUGACGUUGAGGCUCGAAAGCGUGGGGAGCAAACAGGAUUAGAUACCCUUGUAGUC